GUUGAAACACCCAUUUCCGUACGAUCACCGAAGUUAAGCAACGUCGAGCUUGAUCAAUACCUAGAUGGGUGACUGCUGGGGAAUAUCAGGUGCUGUAUG